AGUGAACGCUGGCGGCGUGCUUAACACAUGCAAGUCGAACGAGAACGGGUUAUAGCUUGCUAUAAUUGUCAGCUAAGUGGCGCACGGGUGAGUAAUGUAUAGGUAAUAUGCCUCUUACUAAGGGAUAACAAAUGGAAACGUUUGCUAAUACCUUAUACUCCUUAUUAACAUAAGUUAAUAAGGGAAAGAUUUAUUGGUAAGGGAUUAGCCUGUAUUGUAUCAGUUAGUUGGUGGGGUAAUGGCUUACAAAGACUAUGACACAUAACUGGUUUGAGAGGAGGAUCAGUCACACUGGAACUGGGACACGGUCCAGACUCCUACGGGAGGCAGCAGUGGGGAAUAUUGCACAAUGGACGAAAGUCUGAUGCAGCAACGCCGCGUGGAGGAUGACACAUUUCGGUGCGUAAACUCCUUUUAUAUGAGAAGAUAAUGACGGUAUUAUAAGAAUAAGCACCGGCUAACUCCGUGCCAGCCGCCGCAGUAA
rnacentral:rRNA from 1 species